rnacentral:sRNA from 1 species
ACACUUAAGUGAGCUGCUGAAAAGAACUGCUCUCCAUGGAGAGAGUAACUCUGUCCUUAUUAUCGGACCCCGAGGAUCAGGAAAAACUAUGUUAAUAAAUCAUGCUUUGAAAGAACUCAUGGAAAUAGAAGAAGUGAGUGAAAAUGUAUUACAAGUUCACUUAAAUGGACUGCUGCAGAUCAAUGACAAAAUCGCCCUAAAGGAAAUCACAAGGCAGUUAAAUCUGGAAAAUGUAGUUGGAGAUAAAGUUUUUGGAAGCUUUGCUGAAAACCUUUCAUUUCUUCUGGAAGCUUUAAAAAAAGGUGACCGAACUAGCAGUUGCCCAGUGAUCUUCAUAUUAGAUGAAUUUGAUCUUUUUGCUCAUCAUAAAAACCAAACACUUCUCUAUAAUCUUUUUGACAUUUCUCAGUCUGCACAGACCCCAAUAGCAGUUAUUGGUCUUACAUGUAGAUUGUUCUGCAGGCUGAGAAAUUCAAGCGCAUGGCACUGGCUUUGUUGCAAGGGUUUUCAUGCUGCAUGACAUGGUGGAAGGUCAAAUGGGGAACCGAUAUGUGCAAAAACGAACCAGAUAGGAGUUGGAACCUCAAUUUAUAACAACUCACUGUCUCAAGAACUAAUUUAUCCCCAUGAGAACAAGAACUCACU